UGCAAGGAAAGAGCAAUCAAGCUCUUUGGAUUCAAUUUCUGACUCUAUACAUCAAAAUGAUAGGAUAUGUGUAAUAUGUAUAUAUACCAUAUGUGUGUGUGUGUGUGUGUGUGUGUGUGUGUGUGUAUGAGAAUAUUAACCUGCAA